CUUUUUAGGGAGACCUAACCCAACUGAUGACCGAAAAGAUUUAAAUAGGUCAACUGUUGAGGUCAUACCUAGGUCGAACGAGAAUGGCUGGCUUUCAAACUAGAUUCAGGUUUGGGUGAUGGGCUAUUAGCUCAGGUGGUUAGAGCGCACCCCUGAUAAGGGUGAGGUCCCUGGUUCAAGUCCAGGAUGGCCCACCUGAAACACAAAGCAUUGUGGGGGUAUAGCUCAGUUGGUAGAGCGCUGUCCUUGCACGGCAGAUGUCAGCGGUUCGAGUCCGCUUACCUCCACCAAAAAAACUCAGUGAAGAAAAAGUUUCCCUAAGAAGCUUGUCAACACUAAGAGGAAAUGAUAGCCUAGAAAGAGUGACAAUUGAUGAAUCAGCACCUCUAGUGGUUAAGAAAAAACCAAAGAGAAUGCUGGCGACAUCAGCCAGUGAGAACCUAGAAAACUGCAUAGUAAGAGAGAAAUAGGAAACAAAUAGCAGGUAGAUAAUUACCAAAUGUUUGUGUAGAA
rnacentral:tRNA from 1 species